rnacentral:rRNA from 1 species
AAAAACAUUUUUUAUAAAAUUUUUAUAAGUAAAAUCUGCUCAAUGUAAAAUAAAUAGCCGCAGAUUAACUGUGCUAAGGUAGCAUAAUCAUUAGUCUUCUAAUUUAAGACUAGAAUGAAUGAUUUAACACUCUAAUUUAUUUUUUUACCAAAAAAAUUAAAAUUUAAUUAAGAAUAAAAAUGUUCUUAUUAUAUAAAUAGACGAUAAGACCCUACUGAACUUUACUAAAGUUGAGCUGGGGAAGCUAAUUAAAAACAAUUUUAAUAUUUUUAACAAAAUAAAACUCCAAUUUAAUUGCUUUUUAACAAGUUACCAUAGGGAUAACAGCGUAAUAUUAUUUAAAAGUUCUUAUUAAAAAUAAAGAUUACGACCUCGAUGUUGAAUU